GCCAGAACUAGUAUUUGGCUUAAGGCG
rnacentral:piRNA from 1 species